rnacentral:lncRNA from 1 species
AAGAAAUGCAAAAAAGCAAAAUGGCUGUCUGGGGACGCCUUACAAAUAGCUGUGAAAAGAAGAGAAGCGAAAAGCAAAGGAGAAAAGGAAAGAUAUAAGAUUCAAAUGCAGAGUUCCAAAGAAUAGCAAGAAGAGAUAAGAAAGCCUUCUUCAGCAAUCAAUGCAAAGAUAGAUGGAAACAACAGAAUGGGAAAAACUAGAGAUCUCUUCAAGAAAAUUAGAGAUACCAAGGGAACAUUUCAUGCAAAGAUGGGCACAAUAAAGGAUAGAAAUGGUAUGGACCUAACAGAAGCAGAAGAUAUUAAGAAGAGGUGGCAAGAAUACACAGAAGAACUAUACAAAAAAGAGCUUCACGACCCAGAUAAUCACGACGGUGUGAUCACUGACCUAGAGCCAGACAUCCUGGAAUGUGAAGUCAAGUGGGCCUUAGAAAGCAUCAUUAUGAACAAAGCUAGUGGAGGUGAUGGAAUUGCAGUUGAGCUAUUUCAAAUCCUGAAAGAUGAUGCUGUGAAAGCGCUGCACUCAAUAUGCCAGCAAAUCUGGAAAACUCAGCAGUGGCCACAGGACUGGAAAAGGUCAGUGCUCUUUCCAAUCCCAAAGAAAGGCAAUGCCAAAGAAUACUCAAACUACCGCACAAUUGCAUUCAUCUCACAUGCUAGUAAAGUAAUGCUCAAAAUUCUCCAAGCCAGGCUUCAGCAAUAUGUGAACUGUGAACUUCCUGAUGUUCAAGCUCGUUUUAGAAAAGGCAGAGGAACCAGAGAUCAAAUUGCCAACAUCCGCUGGAUCAUGGAAAAAGCAAGAGAGUUCCAGAAAAACAUCUAUUUCUGCUUUAUGACUAUGCCAAAGCCUUUGACUGUGUGGAUCACAAUAAACUGUGGAAAAUUCUGAAAGAGAUGGGAAUACCAGAGCACCUGACCUGCCUCUUGAGAAACCUGUAUGCAGGUCAGGAAGCAACAGUUAGAACUGGACAUGGAACAACAGACUGGUUCCAAAUAGGAAAAGGAGUACGUCAAGGCUGUAUAUUGUCACUCUGCUUAUUUAACUUAUAUACAGAGUA